AGACAGAAACUGAGAUGGGCCCUCCCAAUGGCGUCCGGUGUGCAGUGGCUGCCAACAGCAGCCUGCUGGGUAGUGCAUGCAGCCUGCUGCUUGUAUCGCUGCCCUAAGGGACCCUGGAGACAGCC
rnacentral:snoRNA from 1 species